rnacentral:rRNA from 1 species
UACGUAGGGGGCAAGCGUUGUCCGGAAUUAUUGGGCGUAAAGCGCGCGCAGGCGGUGACCUAAGUCUUCUGUUUAAGCCCGGGGCUCAACCCCGGUACGCAGAGGAAACUGGGUGACUUGAGUGCAGGAGAGGAAAGUGGAAUUCCACGUGUAGCGGUGAAAUGCGUAGAGAUGUGGAGGAACACCAGUGGCGAAGGCGACUUUCUGGCCUGUAACUGACGCUGAGGCGCGAAAGCGUGGGGAGCAAACAGG